UCCAGAGCGCAGCAGGAGUUCCUGCUGCACUCGGGAGGCUUCAGGCUUCAGGCGGCUAUCCCCAAGCCUUCGGAGUGCAGCGGGAACUCCUGCUGUGCUCCGAAGGCUUGGGGAUAGCUGCCUGAAGCCUCCAGAGCGCAGCGGGAGUUCCUGCUGCACUCCGGA